rnacentral:rRNA from 1 species
AGAGUUUGAUCCUGGCUCAGAUUGAACGCUGGCGGCAUGCCUUACACAUGCAAGUCGAACGGUAGAGGGGCAACCCUUGAGAGUGGCGAACGGGUGAGUAAUGCAUCGGAACGUGCCCAGUCGUGGGGGAUAACGCAGCGAAAGCUGUGCUAAUACCGCAUGUGAUCUGUGGAUGAAAGCAGGGGACUUGGUAGCAAUACUAGGCCUUGUGCGAUUGGAGCGGCCGAUGUCAGAUUAGCUAGUUGGUAGGGUAAAAGCCUACCAAGGCGACGAUCUGUAGCUGGUCUGAGAGGACGACCAGCCACACUGGGACUGAGACACGGCCCAGACUCCUACGGGAGGCAGCAGUGGGGAAUUUUGGACAAUGGGCGCAAGCCUGAUCCAGCAAUGCCGCGUGCAGGACGAAGGCCUUCGGGUUGUAAACUGCUUUUGUACGGAGCGAAACGGUCCGGGUUAAUACCCUAGGCUAAUGACGGUACCGUAAGAAUAAGCACCGGCUAACUACGUGCCAGCAGCCGCGGUAAUUC